rnacentral:lncRNA from 1 species
GUGGAAGCGGUGGUCUGACACAAGCAUUUCUGGAUGACGCUGAACCUGCUUACAACUCCCUGCUGCUGUCAGGCAGAACAUUCUCCAAACCGCAUGAAUUUGGAAGUCUGGACACUUCAGGCAUCAUCAGGUUUAUGGUUUUGUCAUAACCCUGCUGAAAGUCCUUUACCAUCUCCAGGCCUCCAUUUAUUUUCUAUAAAAUAAGGAGUUUGGAAUGGCACUGUGUUGAUAUUCUCCAGUUUUGUGAAACAUCGUACUCAACAAUCGCGAGCAGGCAUUUUACAGACCUUGCUUUCCUAGACCUGCUCAAGUAGAACAUUCAGGAAUCUGGGCUGUAAAGGCAGGAUAUAAAUUCAAGUCCACAUGCUAUGGAGAAAUCAGAGGUUUCGAAAGUAUCUCCGUGACUGUUUUUGAAGUCACAGCUAAUAAUUCACCGUCUGACACUCCGGGGCUUGCCUGGAUCUAAAAAUAGUUGUUCCCCCGAGCUGGUCGGGGAACUGGCUGAGAAGGGAGGGAGCUGCGUGGAACACAUUCUGAACCAUCAGGAAACCCAAAGCAAAAUCGAAUCUUGCCACCUAAGAUUUGAUUAUUAAAAGAUGGAUUUGACAGCUGAUUCCCCAUUAAUUACAUUUGUAAAGAUAUUUGAAAGACAGGAAUGAAAUGACAGUGGCCCUGACACAGUCCUUGGGGUUUAAGACGGAGUCUGACAUUGUAUCUGUCUCCGGUUCUGCAGCAGCUUAGCGACAUCAGAGACAAUUGAAGCAAAGGGCCCACUUAUGGCUGACAGCUGACCCUGCAGCCCAGCUGGGAAGCCCCUGAGACGACCCGGGUCCAGCCAUCAGGGAAGGGAACCAGCGUGGCCCCAGGAGGGCUUUAGGCUGAGGCUUCUCCCAGGAUGUGGAGGCUCAGCACUUUGCACAAAUUGGAUUCAUGCCAAAGGAAACUGAAAGCCUGCCUUUCUUUUUUUCCCAGUGCACAUCUCAGAUUAUUUGGCCUUUGUCCGAGGACUGAAAACAGUUCUGUGUCCAAGUAUGUUUUUAAUACCUGAUAUUUAUUUCACAAAAAAGCUGAAAUUGCUUUGUGUGUCCAGGCUUGAAUGUUUAAGGCAUACUUGAUUAAUACAUGUGUGCUGAGCGCUUCCUGGGGCUCCUAGACACUGCCAAAGGUAGCUCAGUGGGGAAAUUCAAGGCAAUUUUCCCCUUAACUUUUGCUACUUCUGACCAUUUUCCACUUAUGUUAUUAUGCUUCUGUAUCCAUCUGUCUGCCUAUGUCUAGCUAUCCAUCAUCUAUCAAUCAAUCACUGUAUCUUGCAAUGGAGGAAUUAACUGUGAUGUUUUCAAGCGUGUCGCUUCUCUCAUAUUCCUAUUAACAUAUUGGAAACGCU